UACGUAGGGUGCAAGCGUUAAUCGGAAUUACUGGGCGUAAAGGGCUCGUAGGCGGCCAACUAAGUCGGAUGUGAAAUCCCCAGGCUCAACCUGGGAACUGCAUCCGAUACUGGAUGGCUUGAAUUCGGGAGAGGGAUGCAGAAUUCCAGGUGUAGCGGUGAAAUGCGUAGAUAUCUGGAGGAAUACCGGUGGCGAAGGCGGAUCUCUGGGCCAUUACUGACGCUGAGGAGCGAAAGCGUGGGGAGCGAACAGG
rnacentral:rRNA from 1 species